rnacentral:rRNA from 1 species
UACGGAGGGUGCAAGCGUUAUCCGGAUUCACUGGGUUUAAAGGGUGCGUAGGCGGGUAGAUAAGUCAGCGGUGAAAUCCCCGAGCUUAACUUGGGAACUGCCGUUGAUACUAUUUGUCUUGAAUGUCGUGGAGGUUAGCGGAAUAUGUCAUGUAGCGGUGAAAUGCUUAGAUAUGACAUAGAACACCCAUUGCGAAGGCAGCUAACUACGCGGAUAUUGACGCUGAUGCACGAAAGCGUGGGGAUCAAACAGG